rnacentral:rRNA from 1 species
AUGGCUGAAUCCGUCCUCAGCACUGUUCUUGGGAAUGUGGGCAAUCUUGCUGUUCAGGAGGCUAGUUUCUUAGGUGGGGUCACACUUGAAGUGGCCUUCUUAAAAGAUGAGCUGAUGCGGUUGCAAGGCUACCUCAAAGACGCCGAGAGCAAACGGAGAUCUGGAAAUGCAACAGUCACUAUCUUAAUGAGCCAGAUCGGGGAUGCUGCUUAUGAGGCCGAGAAUGUUAUCGAAGCAGUAGAUUACAUGAAGAAAAGAAAUGACAUAAAAAAGGGCUUCAUGGGUGCAAUUUCAAGGUAUGCUCACAUACCAAGUGAUUUGACUACCCUGCAUAAAGUUGGUGUUGAAAUCCAGCGUGUAAGAAGGAAACUCAGUGAGAUAUUUCAGAGCAUAGAACGUUUGAAAAUCAACUUGGAUAGUGGUGUUGUGGAUGAGUCUCUAGAAGAUUAUGACCUUAGACAUUUGCGUAAUGAUGAUGUUGUCAUGGUAGGUUUUGAGAAUGAGUACAAAGAAAUAGUGGACAAAUUAGUUCAGGGAGAAAAAAUGCUUAGUGUUGUCUCCAUAGUUGCCAUGGGCGGGGCAGGAAAAACAACACUUGCUAGAAAAGUAUACAUUUCUUCUCAAGUCGAACAACACUUUGAAGCACUUGUUUGGGUUACUGUAUCUCAAAAGUUCAAGGUCAUUGAUUUACUAAAGGAGAUUUUGAAGCAAAUACUGAGUGACGUAGACCAGUCUACAAAAAUUGAUGAAAUGAAAGAGUAUGAGGUGGGAAAGAAGAUCCAUGAUAUCCUCAUCAAGAAAAUAUACUUGGUAGUUCUCGAUGAUGUGUGGGAAACAGACACAUGGGAACAAAUAAAUAGAACAAUUAAGGCCUUUCCGGAUACGUCUAACUGUAGUAGAAUACUGCUAACCACAAGAAAAGAAGAUGUUGCGAAACAUGUUGAAAUGCAAACCCAUGUACAUGCUUUGAGGAGUUUAGAUGAAGAGAAAAGUUGGUUACUUUUUAGUAGCAAAGCUUUACCUUCAUAUAGAAUAUCAAGCAUACACAAUCUGGAUAAAUAUGAAGAACUGGGAAGAAAACUUACAAGGAAAUGUGCUGGACUACCACUUGCACUUGCAGUUUUAGGGGGGUACCUAUCAAAGAAUCUCAACACACAGGCAUGGUCCGAUGUGCUACUGUGUUGGCCAUCAACCAAGGACACACAGAUGAUGCGAGCCAUAAUAGCUCGCAGUUACGAGAACCUACAAAAUCACCAUUUAAGAUCAUGUGUGCUGUAUCUUGCUGCUUUUCCUGAGGAUUACAUAAUAUCUGUGUCAGCUCUUAUUAAUCUAUGGAUAGCAGAAGGCUUCAUUCCACAUACACCUAAGCAUACUCUAGAAAAAACAGCUCGUAUGUAUGUAAGUGAGUUGGCUCAAAGAAGCUUCGUGCAAGUUGUUCAAACAAGCAUUAUACAUGAACGUGCCGAGGAAAUAAGGAUUCAUGAUAUAAUACGUGACUGGUGCAUAGAAGAGGCAUCACAAGAUGGUUUCCUUGAUGUCAUCCAUGAAACUACUAGUGGGCAAGUUGGUGCAUCAUCAUCUCAUAACAAGAUAUUCUAUCGUUCUUCUUUCCAAAACUUGAGUGGGCAGAUCUUACAGGCUUCACCUAAUCUCAGAACUUUGUUUGGCUUUGAACUUUCAUCACUAUCUUUACCUGAUGUAAGGUUCCUAAGAGUUCUUCAUGUUGAGAACACAAGGCUAAAGAAUUUCUCAACGGUAAUUGGUGGGUGCAUUCACCUACGACACCUGAGUUUGAGAGGUUGUGGAAGAGUGAAGGUUCCCUCUUCAAUCAGGAAACUCCUUUAUCUGCAAACUAUACAUGUAGACUCAAAUGUACCAAGCUCCCUCUGGGAUAUACCUACUCUAAGACAUGUAGAUCUUUGUUGUAUUUCUCUGCCAAGGAGUGUGCAAAUUCUACAAACCCUACAGGAGCUUCGUAUGUGGCCCACUGAUGAUGAAGUAGGUAAAGACCCGAUGCCGAUCUUGGAGAUGCUUCCUUGUCUUGUAGUGCUAGAGUUGCAUUGUUUUAUACCCGAAGCAAUGUCCUCUGGUGCCCAAGGGUUCCCUCGUCUGCAAGAGUUACGACUUGAGGGCUGUUACUUUAACAAGUGGACGAUGGAGGUUGGGACAAUGCCAAAGCUAUCCCACCUGUCACUUGAUAUGUUCGAUAUGCUGGAUGAAAUUGAAAUCCCCGAUGGAUUACUGCACCUUCCAUCCAUCAGUUUCGUAUCACUGCAUGCGAGAGCAAUUGCUUGUUCGAGUCACAGCACAGCGGAAGGGCUGAAGCAGAAAGGAUGCGAGGUCACAAUAGUUACUGUUCCCCUUUAA